GUCAUCGACCAGAUAACAAUCAUUAUACAGUUUAAAGGUAAAGUUUACAGCAAGGUCCCUCAAAUGCAUGGUCAGAUAGGAAGUCUACUGCUGUCCCCGUGGUCAACAUAAUGUAAGAACAACAGCCAAAGAGCAUGGAAUGUGUUGGGCUGAAUACAAACAACAUUUCAGCUCAGUUAUGAACUUCCAAAAAAAGACCAAGAUUUUAAGAUGAAUCAUAGCCUGGUUUGUCUUCUGACUGUGCAAAGGCAAACUUGAAACAUGUUAGAAAUCUGCUGAAAGUCCCUCCCCAUUGAGCUUGUGGGCUGAGAAAUGUACUGAAGGUGCAAUAGCAAUGGCUACUCUUCCUCACUGUGCAGUACCCAAGCUCAGCAGUUAUAAUUCUUCUUUCAAGAAAUAUGCAGG